rnacentral:rRNA from 1 species
UAUGUGAUCGUCUCUCGCAUAUCAAUAAGCGGAGGAAAAGAAACUAACAAGGAUUCCCCUAGUAACGGCGAGUGAAGCGGGAAGAGCUCAAAUUUGAAAUCUUAAAGGGUUUCCCUUUUACGAAUUGUAGUUUAAAGAAGUGUUUUCUGUUGAGGUUUUGGUAAAAGUUCUUUGGAAUAGGACAUCAUAGAGGGUGAGAAUCCCGUAUUUGACCUUUACUUUCAACUUUGUGAUAGCACUUUCAAAGAGUCGGAUUGUUUGGGAAUGCAGUCCAAAAUGGGUGGUAAAUUUCAUCUAAAGCUAAAUAUUGGCGAGAGACCGAUAGCGAACAAGUACCGUGAGGGAAAGAUGAAAAGAACUUUGAAAAGAGAGUUAAACAGUACGUGAAAUUGUCAAAAGGGAAGCGUUUGACACCAGUGUUGUUUUUCUGAAAAUCAAUUAAAGAACUGUUUAUGCUAAGUUGUUUAGACUUUAUCAGCUAACUGUUUAGUUUUGAGCUUUUCUUUAAUGCACUUUUCAGUUAACAAGUCAACAUCAAUUUCUUUUGCUGUAAAAAAGCUUGAGGAAGGUGGCUUGAGAUCCGUCUUAAGUGUUUAUAGCCUCUUGCCUAUGCAGUCGGAGAGAUCGAGGUCUGCAGCGUAGAUCCUUCGGGGCUAAAUGCAUUUGUGCUAAGUUAUAGCAUUUUAUAGACAACUUGUUGACUAUGAUUUGUCUUGUAGCUUACUCGCUUAUGUUAUUUUACCUACGCUUAGGAUGUUGAACGCGCACAGAGUCUC